UUCCCACGCUCCCGCUCCGGGCCGGGGGCGUUCUCAGGCCGGCGUGGCCGCGCUCGCCACCGCCGCGGAGGCCAGGCUGUAAUUAGGGUAAUUGCGCGGCUCCGCGCCUAGGGCAAAUGCAGGACCCUGGCUGUGCAGCGCUAGUCCGAGAUGGGCAGGGACAGCGAGCGGGGGCUGGGAAUGUCGCAGCCUGGUCCUCCAGACAGGCCAACCAUAGGCCCUCUGUGUUCUGCUCCCAGCCUGAGCCACCUCAUCCCCUGGUCAGAUGGGCUCUUUUCUGGUUUCUGAAGUUAUAUAGAGAAAAGUGCUGAACUCUGGGAGCAAACCUGCUUUAUAUUUUAGAAAACCGUUUCUCUGGGAAGGAUGUACGGAAGUUUUGGCAGCAGCAAUUUCUGCAAGACCCCUACAUCCAUCUGCAGCAGACUGUGCAGGACAGUGGUGGCUGUGAAUCCUACAGUGGAAAUGGAGGACCACUGCAAACUUCAACAGACCACGGCUGAUGAUAUCCAGGAUUCAGACUCUGGUGUUAGAAACAAACAAACCAACAAACAAACAGCAGGUCACAUGCACAUAGGUUUGAUGUGAUUCUCAAAUACAGUAUACAGAUGU